AGUUAAGGGCGGCGGUGUAGUAAAGUAGGACCGCCUCCCGUCAUCUCUCCAUUACUGUGGUGUGGAGACUGGACGCGGAGGCUGAGCGCUGGACCCCCGGUAAUGCCCAGGUCUCCCAGGGACAAUGCGAGAAGUGGAACAUUCGGAGUAACACUAGUUUGACUCAAUCAGACCCAUCAAAGACCACGAGCCAAGAUGAGGAACAUCUGGACUCUGUCACUGCUGGCUCUGCUGGCUCAGGGGUGCCGGGGGGAGGACGUGUUUGUGGGGGGCACGACGGC